AUUGAACGCUGGCGGCAGGCCUAACACAUGCAAGUCGAGCGAGCGGCGGACGGGUGAGUAAUGUAUGGGAAACUGCAUGAUAGAGGGGGAUAACUACUGGAAAAGGUAGCUAAUACCGCAUACCAUCAGAUGUGCCCAGAUGGGAUUAGCUAGUAGGUGGGGUAACGGCUAACGUAGGCGACGAUCCCUAGCUGGUCUGAGAGGAUGAACAGCCACACGGGAACUGAGACACGGUCCAGACUCCUACGGGAGGCAGCAGUGGGGAAUAUUGCACAAUGGGCGCAAGCCUGAUGCAGCCAUGCCGCGUGUGUGAAGAAGGCCGUCGGUUUGUAAAGCACGUUCAGCGGGGAGGCGUUACCCGCAGAAGAAGCACCGGCUAACUCCGUGCCAGCAGCCGCGGUAAUUC
rnacentral:rRNA from 1 species